UGGGGAAUAUUGCACAAUGGGGGAAACCCUGAUGCAGCGACGCCGCGUGGAGGAAGAAGGUCUUCGGAUUGUAAACUCCUGUUGUUGGGGAAGAUAAUGACGGUACCCAACAAGGAAGUGACGGCUAACUACGUGCCAGCAGCCGCGGUAAAACGUAGGGUGCAAGCGUUGUCCGGAAUUACUGGGUGUAAAGGGAGCGCAGGCGGACCGGCAAGUUGGAAGUGAAAACUAUGGGCUCAACCCAUAAAUUGCUUUCAAAACUGCUGGCCUUGAGUAGUGCAGAGGUAGGUGGAAUUCCCGGUGUAGCGGUGGAAUGCGUAGAUAUCGGGAGGAACACCAGUGGCGAAGGCGACCUACUGGGCACCAACUGACGCUGAGGCUCGAAAGCAUGGGUAGCAAACAGGAUUAGAUACCCUGGUAGUCCAUGCCGUAAACGAUGAUUACUAGGUGUUGGAGGAUUGACCCCUUCAGUGCCGUAGUUAACACAAUAAGUAAUCCACCUGGGGAGUACGACCGCAAGGUUGAAACUCAAAGGAAUUGACGGGGGCCCGCACAAGCAGUGGAGUAUGUGGUUUAAUUCGAAGCAACGCGAAGAACCUUACCAGGUCUUGACAUCCGAUGCAUAGUGCAGAGAUGCAUGAAGUCCUUCGGGACAUCGAGACAGGUGGUGCAUGGUUGUCGUCAGCUCGUGUCGUGAGAUGUUGGGUUAAGUCCCGCAACGAGCGCAACCCUUAUUGCCAGUUACUACGCAAGAGGACUCUGGCGAGACUGCCGUUGACAAAACGGAGGAAGGUGGGGAUGACGUCAAAUCAUCAUGCCCUUUAUGACCUGGGCUACACACGUACUACAAUGGCGUUUGACAAAGAGAAGCAAGACCGCGAGGUGGAGCAAAACUCAAAAACAACGUCUCAGUUCAGAUUGCAGGCUGCAACUCGCCUGCAUGAAGUCGGAAUUGCUAGUAAUCGCGGAUCAGCAUGCCGCGGUGAAUACGUUCCC
rnacentral:rRNA from 1 species